GAGUUUGAUCAUGGCUCAGGAUGAACGCUAGCGGGAGGCUUAACACAUGCAAGUCGAGGGGUAAGGAGAUAGCAAUAUUCCCCUAGACCGGCGCACGGGUGAGUAACGCGUAUGCAACCUGCCCUUUACAGGAGGAUAGCCCGGAGAAAUCCGGAUUAAUACCCCAUAGAUCUGCAGAUCCGCAUGGAUUAACAGGUAAAGCUGAGGCGGUAAAGGAUGGGCAUGCGUGACAUUAGCUAGUUGGCGGGGUAACGGCCCACCAAGGCUACGAUGUCUAGGGGUUCUGAGAGGAAGGUCCCCUACACUGGUACUGAGACACGGACCAGACUCCUACGGGAGGCAGCAGUGAGGAAUAUUGGUCAAUGGGCGAGAGCCUGAACCAGCCAUCCCGCGUGCAGGAAGAAUGCCCUAUGGGUUGUAAACUGCUUUUUCGCAUGAAGAACACUCCGGACGUGUCUGGAGCUGACGGUAAUGCGUGAAUAAGCACCGGCUAACUCCGUGCCAGCAGCCGCGGUAAUACGGAGGGUGCAAGCGUUAUCCGGAUUUAUUGGGUUUAAAGGGUGCGUAGGCGG
rnacentral:rRNA from 1 species